AUGCGCACCCAUAAUAUGGGACUUGGCUCUUGGGGACCCUCAGCGUCUCUGAACCUCCUCAGCUGCUGCCCUCCCUCAGCCCGAUCUUCCGGUGUUGAAAGUGGGCGGUCUCUGCUUCACAUCUGCUGCUCAUCUCCAGCCUCUUCAUUCGUCUGCUCUCUUCAACCACCACAGAAGUAUCUGAGCGAAACGGCAGAAGACGGGAUCAUAACUGCUUACAUGAUUCAGCUGAUCAUCUGGCAGAAAUAAAGAAACAACUUUCUUCAAUGACUGAGGAGAGAGACCUGCUGACUGAAAAGACCAAAGAGCUGAAAACGCUGCUAUGUUUGUCCAGUCAGAGUGAGUUGUAUGAAAGUUUUUGUCUUUGUAAAAGGCUUUAGUCGGGAAUUCGGUGAUUCAGUUUCCUAGCAAAGUUUUUCCUGCAUAACAUAAAUUACUAUUGGGAAUCAUUAUUAAUAUGUAUUUAUGAACAACUGUCAAUACCUUUGCUUCUAUGCUUUUCAACAUAUAGCUUAAUAGCAUCAGUGCAUCUUAUACUCAUUACAAAUUCACAUUUAUAAGGAAAUUAUGACUGAACAAAAUGACUGUACCGUCAUUAUUUAGUAAUAUCAAAACUUUAUGAAUCCAAAAUCGAACUUAAUGUUUGUUAAUGAAUUUUGUUAAUUUUUAAUCAAGUUUUCAUGUACAAACUUUCAUUGUAGCAAAACAACAUUUAACAAAUACAACGAGCAUUAAUCCCCAGAAAGUUCAUUCUGUUCAUCUGGAUGUAGCGUUUUUAGUGGGAGAAUCUUUUUGUCACUGAUCCAAGUGACUUCUUCUUCAGUCUCAGCUGACUGCACAUUUCCCCAGCUUUAUGUAUAUAUACAUUUCAAUAAUGACCUAAACUAGUGCCACUGAUUAAAAAUGGGCCUUCAGGUCAGGUUCAUGGUCAUUAAUAUGCAACUUGUAAUGACCAUUGAGAGAGCAUAAAAGAAAGCUGAAGUGUUUGUGUUAGCUGCCAGUCUUCUUACUCCUGUAUUUUCUCCUUUUUAACUCUAUAUCUUUAAAACUGUUAACUAUUCAGUUGCUCUUCUAUUUGGUGAUGAUUUGUGUUUUAGUAGGGAUGCAUCUAUUCACUAUCAUAUCUCUUUUGAACUACAUGUUUCACCUUCCAUCAGUUUUACCCAGUUAUUAGACGUUUUCAGUUGAAAACUCAAAACUUUAAAGCAAUAAAGUUUGAGUGAAAUUAGCACUUUCUUUAUUUGAACUCUAUAAAAUUUGUAAUUAUUAAAUAUAAUAAAUUGUUAUUAUUAUUAUUAAUUAUAAACAUUAUAUAUAUUUUAAAUAUACAUAUAAUUUCCCAAUGACAGAAAAAGAUUGACAUAUUACAAUAGAUUUCUAUACUGACAAUUUUGACAUCAGCACAAACGUUCUAUGAAAUUAACUUAGAUACCAUUACUGGAGAUUUCUUGGACUUUUCUUUUUGGGCUGUGGGAGGAAACUGGAUUACCCAGAAAGAACCCCUGCAGGCUCAGGGAGAACAUGCAAACUUCACACAGGUCUUGGGCAGAUGUCUGGAUUUGAGCUCAGGACCUUCUUGCCCUGAGGAAAAAGUGCAAGACACCACCAUGCUGCUCAGGGCAGGUUAAAUCAUGCAGCGACGUGGUCACUCCAGCCACCAAGACCAUAACAUUUUAGUGGGAGAAAAUAGGUCACAGCACAUCACUUUUUUUGGUAAACAAAACAAGUUCAUGUCAUCUUUUGAAUCCUCAGCAGGAAAUGUGUCCCACACACUUUGUUUUUAGAAUAACUUGUGAGAGUGGAACUGUUCUCUGUUAAUAUAAAAUAAAUUAGGUAUUAAAACUGCCACCAUGUUAAAUACAAACAGACAAAUAUAACAGUCAGUAAGUGAAUAGACAGUCAAAGAUCUUUGUGAUCAAGACUUUGGAGGAUUGAAAUUAAAUAGAGAUUGAAUGAGCAUCGUUAUAGAGUUCUUAAAGGAUCUUUUCCUGACAUGCUGUUUUUAAUUUCCUCCAGACAAAACAUGUCCUGUAAGAUGGAACAAGUUCAAUCAUAGAUGCUAUCUCCAAUCGGAAAGCUCUGAUUCGUGGGAUGCAGCCAGAAAGUACUGCACAGACGAAGAAGCCGAUCUGAUAGUCAUUGACAGCCCUGAAGAAAAGGUACAGUGUGUUAUUGUGUUUGUAAAUAAACACAAUAGUUCAAAUUCUUAAUUUUUUUCUUCCUAAAAGUGUUUCUUAUGAGCGUUUGAGC
rnacentral:lncRNA from 1 species